UGGGGAAUCUUCCGCAAUGGGCGAAAGCCUGACGGAGCAACGCCGCGUGAGUGAUGACGGCCUUCGGGUUGUAAAACUCUGUGAUCCGGGACGAAAAGGCAGAGUGCGAAGAACAAACUGCAUUGACGGUACCGGAAAAGCAAGCCACGGCUAACUACGUGCCAGCAGCCGCGGUAAUACGUAGGUGGCAAGCGUUGUCCGGAAUUAUUGGGCGUAAAGCGCGCGCAGGCGGCUUCCCAAGUCCCUCUUAAAAGUGCGGGGCUUAACCCCGUGAUGGGAAGGAAACUGGGAAGCUGGAGUAUCGGAGAGGAAAGUGGAAUUCCUAGUGUAGCGGUGAAAUGCGUAGAGAUUAGGAAGAACACCGGUGGCGAAGGCGACUUUCUGGACGAAAACUGACGCUGAGGCACGAAAGCGUGGGGAGCAAACA
rnacentral:rRNA from 1 species